rnacentral:rRNA from 1 species
CGCUGGCGGUAUGCCUACACAUGCAAGUCGUACGAGGGUUUUUAACUCUAGUGGCGGACGGGUGAGUAACACGUGAGAAUUUGCCUUUAGGAGGGGGAUAACAAUCGGAAACGAAUGCUAAUACCCCAUAUGCUUUCGAGUGAAACGGAUUUAUCCGCCUAAAGAGAAGCUCGCGGCUGAUUAGCUUGUUGGUAAGGUAAGAGCUUACCAAGGCGACGAUCAGUAUCUGGUUUGAGAGGACGAUCAGACACACUGGAACUGAGACACGGUCCAGACUCCUACGGGAGGCAGCAGUGGGGAAUUUUCCGCAAUGGGCGAAAGCCUGACGGAGCAAUACCGCGUGAGGGAAGACUGCCUAUGGGUUGUAAACCUCUUUUUUCAGGGAGGAAUAAAAUGACGUGUACCUGAAGAAUAAGCAUCGGCUAACUCCGUGCCAGCAGCCGCGGUAAGACGGAGGAUGCAAGUGUUAUCCGGAAUCACUGGGCGUAAAGCGUCUGUAGGUGGCUUAAUAAGUCAACUGUUAAAUCUUGAGGCUCAACUUCAAAAUCGCAGUCGAAACUAUUAGACUAGAGUAUAGUAGAGGUAAAGGGAAUUUCCAGUGUAGCGGUGAAAUGCGUAGAUAUUGGAAAGAACACCGAUGGCGAAAGCACUUUACUGGGCUAUUUACUAACACUCAGAGACGAAAGCUAGGGUAGCAAAUGGGAUUAGAUACCCCAGUAGUCCUAGCCGUAAACUAUGGGAUACUAGAUGUUGGAACAGAUCGACCUGGUGCAGUAUCAAAGCUAACGCGUUAAGU